AACGCACAUUGCGCCCCCUGGUAUUCCGGGGGGCAUGCCUGUUCGAGCGUCAUUACAACCCUCAAGCAUUGCUUGGUGUUAGGCUCCGCUGCUCACCCGGCGGGCCUUAAAACCAGUGGCGGUGCCGUCGAGGCCCUGAGCGCAGUAAAUAUCCUCGCUAUAGGGACCCGGCGGACGCUGGCCAUCAACCCCCAACUUUCUAAGUUUGACCUCGGAUCAGGUAGGGAUACCCGCUGAACUUAA
rnacentral:misc_RNA from 1 species